rnacentral:rRNA from 1 species
GACGAACGCUGGCGGCGUGCUUAACACAUGCAAGUCGAACGGAAAGGCCCUGCUUUUGUGGGGUGCUCGAGUGGCGAACGGGUGAGUAACACGUGAGUAACCUGCCCUUGACUUUGGGAUAACUUCAGGAAACUGGGGCUAAUACCGGAUAGGAGCUCCUGCUGCAUGGUGGGGGUUGGAAAGUUUCGGCGGUUGGGGAUGGACUCGCGGCUUAUCAGCUUGUUGGUGGGGUAGUGGCUUACCAAGGCUUUGACGGGUAGCCGGCCUGAGAGGGUGACCGGCAACAUUGGGACUGAGAUACGGCCCAGACUCCGACGGGAGGCAGCAGUGGGGAAUAUUGCACAAUGGGCGGGAGCCGGAUGCAGCAACGCCGCGUGCGGGAUGACGGCCUUCGGGUUGUAAACCGCUUUCGCCUGUGACGAAGCGUGAGUGACGGUAAUGGGUAAAGAAGCACCGGCUAACUACGUG